GAGCCCAAAGAGCUCGGCCAGCCCGGCAAACAGGGCCUCAAAAACGAGCGGGGCUCGCGAACUGCUGGAAAGCCUUUCCUUCCUGGCAGCAGGCAGCUUUCCUUCCAUGGCGGUGAUGAGGCUUGCUGGAGACUAAUGAAAAAUGAAAAAUUUUCAUACUAAUGAAAAAGAAUUGUUCCUGCCACAGAACUGCUUGUUAUUUAUGUACAAAUGUCCGGGGAGCAGAGAUUAAAUCCCAAAUUUAGAGUGUCCGGGGUUUUAUGACUGAAUUUACAAUAUGAGUUUUCAGUCAUGCCAAACCCGAGUGGAGAUGGAAAUCUGUUAGAAGAAUCAUUAACAAUCAGGCUCCUUACGAGUCCAAUUAUCAUUUGGAACUGCAGGAGUUGGAAUUGCUCUACCUUGAUGAGUAACAAGAUCCAGUGGAAUGUAUUGGGUUUGUUCUUUCAGCACUGACAGAUCAUAAA